GCAGUAGAGGAAGUUAUGGAAAAGGUUGAAGAAGAUUCAGAGGAGAAUUGAGCAAACUAUUUUUAAGGUAAACUUGUGAGGUAAUGUGUUUUGGUUUAUAUAAAAGAGAUAGCUAAGUUCUCUAUUAAACAGCUUGUACACUAAACUGAGGGGUGUAUUUCCGGGGGUGGAUUUUGGUUGUUUUUGCGGUACACGCGAACCCAUGGUCUUUUCGUCAAAUCGAGUAUUUUAUGUAUAUAUUUUGUAAAAUUAAUCUAAUAUUAUCGGUUGGGCCUCAUGCUCCAAAAAGGUUGAAUGAUGCACCUGCUUGAAUGCUUUAUCCAAAGGAACAUGGAUCGAUUCCCACUUAGUGCUUUUUCCCCUCAUUUUUCAAUGGUGCACCCAUAUUUUAGAAAUCUUAGGUCGCCUCUGUGUAUUUCUACAAUCUAGGAGCUACUAAAUGGAUAUUCAUAUUGAGGCUGGUAGCACAUGGGAGAAUACUUACCGGAGACAGAUUGCUGCAAUGGGAAAUGGACGUACCAUAGUCUUGCCCUUUCUGCAAUAAUAAGAUUGAGAGUAGAUCACGUUUAUUUUUCCAAUGUGACUCUACUGCUUAGAUCUAGAAUAAGAUCUUGUUCAAACAAGAAGUUAAUAGGAGAACCAUAGAUUGGCUAGAGCAAUUAAAGUAGGCUGAAGAUCAUGCAAAGAGGAGAAGCUCUAAAGCAGAAGCUUAUAGGAUUGCACGUGCAAGAUUGAGAGUAUAUCGCACCUAUUUUGUAUGUCGUUUGUAUGUAUUGUGGAUGUUAUUUGUAUCUUCAAUGUAUUAUUGGACAUACAAUAACAUACACACAACUUACGAAAUAGGGGUCGGUUUAAAUUGGAUCUAGAUAUUUAAAUUGGAGCUUUUGUUCUUGAGAUGCCAUGUGGCACUCCGUUUAAUUAGGGUUAUAUUUGUGCCUAAGUGUAACAGUAGGGUCCUAAUUGAUUGGAUAGUGAAAUGGAGGAUAUAUUUAAAUUAUUUUUGAUAAUACAAGAGUAUAUUUCUCCCUUUCCAAAUAUUAUAAGUUACGAUUCAUUCAAGGCAAAAUACAUAAGUUACCCUCUGAUUUAUGGACCAAAUCCCUUGUACGAUUUUUUUACGGACAAGAAUUAUCUUAUACACUUAACCUUUCUAAAGUGUAGCUAAGACACCACUUUUUUCUUGAACAGAUUUUUAAAAUAUGUGUGAUAUCAAGCACCAAUAAGGUUGUGACAUGUGUCCCCACUCAAAAAAAAA
rnacentral:lncRNA from 1 species